UAACCUGCCUGGUAGCGGGGGAUAACUAUUGGAAACGAUAGCUAAUACCGCAUAACAGUAGAUGUUGCAUGACAUCUAUUUGAAAGGGGCAAUUGCUCCACUACCAGAUGGACCUGCGUUGUAUUAGCUAGUUGGUGAGGUAACGGCUCACCAAGGCGACGAUACAUAGCCGACCUGAGAGGGUGAUCGGCCACACUGGGACUGAGACACGGCCCAG
rnacentral:rRNA from 1 species